UACGUAGGGCGCAAGCGUUGUCCGGAAUUAUUGGGCGUAAAGAGCUCGUAGGCGGUCUGUCGCGUCUGCCGUGAAAACCCGAGGCUUAACCUCGGGCUGGCGGUGGAUACGGGCAGACUAGAGGUAGGUAGGGGAGAAUGGAAUUCCCGGUGUAGCGGUGAAAUGCGCAGAUAUCGGGAGGAACACCGGUGGCGAAGGCGGCAUCCUGGACCGAUACUGACACUGAGGAGCGAAAGCCAGGGGAGACAA
rnacentral:rRNA from 1 species